CCCUUAGAUGUUCUGGGCAGCACGCGCGCUACAAUGGUCUUCGCAAACGGAUGCAUUCUCGAAGGAGAAUGCCAAUCUUGGAAUCUAUGCCUUGGUCGGGACAGUUGCUUGCAAUUUUUCGACUCGAACCAGGAAUUCCUUGUAAUCGUGACUCAUCACAUCACGAUGAAUACGUCCCUGCCCUUUGUACACACCGCCCGUCGCUCCUACCGAUCGAAGAGUUAGGUGAAUUGUUUUGAUCGAUAAGAUUUGACUAUGGUCAACUCUCGUUGUGAAAUUCUGUGAAUCUGACUGUUUAGAGGAAGGAAAAGUCGUAACA
rnacentral:rRNA from 1 species